rnacentral:tmRNA from 1 species
GGGGAUGUACCGGUUUCGACAGGGAUCAUGCAGCUGGUGAAGCUAUCCGCAUGCGAUGCGUUAAAUGGCAAAAUUAAAUUAAACGCUGAAGAUAAUUUAGCAUACGCUGCCUAAGUGCAGCUGUCAGCCUUAGAGCACUCACACUUUAAGAAUCUGGCAUCGACUUUGUGAGAAACGGUAUAUGUUAAGCUUUGCGCAUAUAGCCGUAUGAUGAAGCUACUAAAGUCCUGAGGGUGUUCGUUCUCGCAGGGCGGAGGGAAUGUCAAAGAACGGACUAUGAUAGUAGAAGAACAGGGAAUUGGUUUUUGGACACGGGUUCGACUCCCGUCAUCUCCACGC